ensembl:lncRNA LINC02832 long intergenic non-protein coding RNA 2832
AGGCGUGAGCCACGGCGCCUGGCCAGCAGGCACCUCUUAUGCUUGCUUUGAAAAUAUACUUAUGAGCCAUUUGAAGUGCUGUCUGCUCCUUGGCCUUCUGGCAUGAUUGUAAGCUUCCUGAGGCCUCCCUAGAGGAUGAGUACAUGGCAGCAUCAUGCUUCCUGUACAGGCCGCAGAACUGUGAGUCAAUUAAAAUUCUUCUUUAUAAACUACUCAGUCCCAGGUAUUUAUUUAUUUAUAGCAAUGCAAAAACAAUCUAAUACAAGGCCUUAUCAGACACUGAAUCUGCUCAUGCCUUGAUCUUGGACUUCUCAGCCUCCAGAACUGUGAGAAAUAAAGGCUUGAGCCACUCGUCUAUGAUAUUUUAGUUAUAGCAAUCAAAAUGGACUAAGACAACCACUAUGCCUGUGGUGGCACUGUGAAUAGAGAGAGAGGGAACAGGGAAAUAUCUAGAUCUGUGUGCUGAUACCACUUUUUUUCUCCACAUUAUUCUCCU